GACGAAGGGGGCUAGCGUUGUUCGGAAUUACUGGGCGUAAAGCGAGUGUAGGCGGUUGCCCAAGUCAGGUGUGAAAGCCUUGAGCUCAACUCAAGAAAUGCACUUGGUACUGGGUGGCUAGAGGACCGGAGAGGAUAGUGGAAUUCCCAGUGUAGUGGUGAAAUACGUAGAGAUUGGGAAGAACACCAGUGGCGAAGGCGGCUAUCUGGACGGUUACUGACGCUAAGACUCGAAAGCGUGGGGAGCAAACAGGAUUAGAAACCGGUCA
rnacentral:rRNA from 1 species